rnacentral:rRNA from 1 species
GAUGAACGCUGGCGGCGUGCCUAAUACAUGCCAGUCGAGCGAACGGACGAGAAGCUUGCUUCUCUGAUGUUAGCGGCGGACGGGUGAGUAACACGUGGAUAACCUACCUAUAAGACUGGGAUAACUUCGGGAAACCGGAGCUAAUACCGGAUAAUAUUUUGAACCGCAUGGUUCAAAAGUGAAAGACGGUCUUGCUGUCACUUAUAGAUGGAUCCGCGCUGCAUUAGCUAGUUGGUAAGGUAACGGCUUACCAAGGCAACGAUGCAUAGCCGACCUGAGAGGGUGAUCGGCCACACUGGAACUGAGACACGGUCCAGACUCCUACGGGAGGCAGCAGUAGGGAAUCCUCCGCAAUGGGCGAAAGCCUGACGGAGCAACGCCGCGUGAGUGAUGAAGGUCUUCGGAUCGUAAAACUCUGUUAUUAGGGAAGAACAUAUGUGUAAGUAACUGUGCACAUCUUGACGGUACCUAAUCAGAAAGCCACGGCUAACUACGUG